rnacentral:rRNA from 1 species
GUCACAGCUAUAUCACCCUGCAGCCCGACACUGAUUAACGACAGAACCUAAGUAGGGCUGAGCCUGGUCAGUACCUGGAUGGGAGACCCCAUUGUUAAAACUAGGUUGGUGUUGAAA